rnacentral:piRNA from 1 species
UCCACUGAGACUUAAAUGAUGAUGCAGG